AGGCACCAGCCAGGCAUUGCUCAGC
rnacentral:miRNA from 1 species